ACUUGUUCCCCUCUUUUCUCCCCUCGACAGGAUAUUGAAAUCGCAAAUCGAAUUUCGCAUACCGCAUUUAAGGGGGCUUUAUUUUUUUUGCAUAUUUUGUGUGUGGGUCUUAAGGCGAAAAUCAGCUCAACGCGUGCGGGAAAUUAAACUAGAUUUCAUCACGUUGCAGUCGGAAAAGCAAAAGUUGGUGGGCAAAAUUGUAGCAAUUGAAGAGGACUGUAUGGAUUGAAUUCAUUCAUGGACGAGGCCAUUGAACAUUUAUUUAAGAACAGUAAUUUAAAACAUGUUUUCAAAAAAUAUCGGGCCAUUUUAUUAUGGUUAAAUAAGAAAAUACUAUAAUCCUUUCCGCUAUUAUGGAAUGUAUCUGUUUAACAGUAUACGGCUUAGAUUAGGGAACUUUUGUUUGAAAAAGCAAUUGAUGCUGAUCUGCCACAGGAAUCGCACGAUGAAUGAAAACCAAUUUAACUUUUGUGUUGGCUUUUAGCACUUCGCCCCCGAAAAAUAAAAGUGGCCAAAAACCAGCGACCGCUAACCGUUGCUGCCACCUCCCACUUUUGCACUUUUCCUCUUUCCCACACUCUCCGCCCACUCUACUUUGUCUUCCCACUUAACCGAAGCCGCAGAAGCGAGGACGGCAGACGAACGACGCCAGUUGGAAUUUGAAUUGAGAGAUUAAAACGCAAUGCCGGUGCACACCUUUGGCCGCAAACGUAUGUGCCAGCACUGAGAAAAAAUGAGUGGGCCACACAAUCAAUGAAAUUGAUAAUUUGUUAAUCUGAUUGAACAAAAUAGUUCAGAGAUCGAUUUAACCUUAGCAGAUCAGAAAUAAAAAAUAAAAUGGUCAUGUAUUUGGAUUAUGAGUUAGGUUUUUCUAGUUUUCUAAGUGUACAUCUACAGCUUUGCAUAUAUUUUCGCGCUCUUCACUUUGCCCACCCACACGGAAUCUAAAACCGCAUUUGAAGUAGAAGUGUUUUUCGCCUGUCCGGGUCGCCAGACCGCUGUCCGUCAGUCCGUCCGUUGGUGCGGUCGUCCGUCCGUGGGUCCGGUGUCCGUUAGCCUGGCUGGCUGAAUGUGCAACAGUUGGCAGCAGUUGCCGGUUGGUCAUGACAUGGCAAUGGCCAAGUGAAAGCAGGUUAAAUGCAAAUAAAUUGUAUAGCCUGCUGGAGCGAGGAAUCGGAAGGGGGAGAACUUGAGUUAACUUCAAAACGUACUUUAAACAAAAAUUUCGACCUAUCUCUGCACCCUUACCAAAGUUUCAUUGGACUUUAAUUUGAUUACACUUGAUUACAAUAAUUACGGCAGGAACUUUGUUAAAGAGGUUAUAGUAAUCACUUGCAGGGUUAAUGGUGAAUUAAAUAAGAAAGUUAUGCACUCGAGUCCUUAGUGGAUUUUUAUAAUUUCUUUGCAUGAGUUUAAUGCCAAUUUGUGAUAAAACGUUUUAUAUUUGAUAAAUUGAAUAGUAUGUUCGAAUCUCGCUAGUCUUUGCAACAAAAUUUAUUAUUACUUAUAGGAACAACACAUUAUCCCUGAUUUAUUUCAAAUUCAUUUCACACAUAUCUGGCCAAAAUCAGACAAAUCUGGAAACAGUUUUAUUUACGACCCCGAGCCAUAAAACCCAGUGUUCAAGUGUGACAAAUUGCGGAUGAUAUCGGCAUGAAUGAAUAGCAGGAAAAGGACAACAACUCAGUGCGUAAAUGAGCAGGACUGAAUGGAGGUGAAAGUGUUUGAAGAUUUAUGAUAUGAGGCAACACCCCGGCAACCGGCCACCAACAACCUGCUGCUCCGAACAGACCAGCAGCAACUUGCAACAACCCAGCAGCAGUUGCAAUUAGCUCUUGGGUAAAAAGUGAAAUGUUCUCGGCCAAGUGCCGACAAGUAGGUAGAGGAAAGAUAAAUGAUGGGACAAAAGGGAAAAAGACCGGGGGAGGGGUACUGGAAAAAUGUGCCCGAUGAAAAUAAAACACUUUAGCGCUUUAGCUUCAUAAAUCACAUGAUGAGGACCCCAAAACGACAACAUGGGGACAUGAUGUUCACUCAACUGAAGCACACAGUUCGAAAGGCACAGGCUGUGCGCCGAGAAAGAGACGGCGGGUGGUACGAAGAAAGGGACAAGCACUUGACUGUCACAACAAAAGUGGCCAGAAUAUGAGUAACUGCUAUAUAAUAAUGUUUGCCAAAAACGAAACUCAGCCUCUUCAUUUAUCAAGAGCGAAAUGAAAGGGAAGACAAGACUACACUAAAACAAAAUAAACAUAAAUUUCGAUUAUAAAUAUUGUUGCUAUCCAACAUAAUGUAAA
rnacentral:sRNA from 1 species